GGAAGCAAAGGGAGCCCCAGGAAUGGGGGCGAGGGGGCUCUGCAGGGGAAAGAGGUAAGAGCUACUGAGAACUGUCUCUCUGAUGAGGGAGCUUCAAGUUCUACGUGUAGAAAAUUCCGGAGACAUCCAGUGGCCUGACAAGAGCCGCAGAAAAAUUUCCUGUCUCAGUCUGGUCUUUUCCGCUCCUCCGGAAGUAGCGCCUUGUUUUAUUUAACAUCAUGACGUUUCUGCCACCCGCAUCACCCUUCAACCGUCCCCCCACGACGGAAGCCUGUGGCACUCCGGCCGGGCAGUUGGCAAAUGCCUGAAGCCCCACUCAGUGAGAGCAGCACCGGCCAUCCACAUUGAGAGAUUUUAAUCCUUCCACAUAAAUCACUCCCUCCGGCUCCUUAAUCAUAGGUGACACUCGCAGCGCCGGCAUCUCGCGCUCUGGUUUCCCUGAAAGGUCUUGCAAGCUAAGCAGGGUGAAGCUGAGUCAGUAACUGAGAUGAAAGACGCAAGAACCACCCAGGAAGUGCACACAAAAGGAGUCCACAGACAGCACACGUCUCUCUGAGCCUCUGCUUCUCACGGUCCGGAAGAGGGACUCCCCGGGUCUAAAACCCCGCUGUUUUCCGAGUGAGGAGCCGGCCCGCAACCCCCACGGCGCGCUGUGCUCACCGGUGGAAACCGGAAGGUACCCCAAAGCCAGGAUCCCCCAAAGCCCCUUCAGCUUUCUAUGUGCUCUGCGCCUGUGCUCCCAACUUCCUUUAAGAGGCACAUGAUCAGAGUUUUGGCGGAACCAGUCGCGAUGGAACUGGCAGGAGGACUUUCAAUCCCGCUGGUGAGAGUGAUACUGAUUGCCUGGACGUGGGUUCUUAUUCUGCCUAACAAAGAGAUUUUCUUGAAAAUGCAAUCAGAAUACAGAUGCCUCAUGCACUUAGACGGGUUAAAUGGCUACAUUCUAAACUUCCUAAGAAUUUCUUUUGCAGGAAAGAGAAAUGGUUUGUCUCCUUUUCUGGAAACUGGAAGUAAUCAAAUACAGAAGCUUAAGAAGCUUAA